CCUACGGGGGGCAGCAGUGAGGAAUAUUGGUCAAUGGGCGGGAGCCUGAACCAGCCAAGUCGCGUGAGGGAAGACGGUCCUAUGGAUUGUAAACCUCUUUAGGCGGGGAGCAAUGCCGGGCACGCGUGCCCGGAGGGAGAGUACCCGCAGAAUAAGCAUCGGCUAACUCCGUGCCAGCAGCCGCGGUAAUACGGGGGAUGCGAGCGUUAUCCGGAUUUAUUGGGUUUAAAGGGUGCGUAGGCGGAUUUUUAAGUCAGCGGUAAAAUGUCCGGGCUCAACCCGGGCCGGCCGUUGAAACUGGGGAGCUUGAGUGGGCGAGAAGUAUGCGGAAGGCGUGGGGUAGCGGUGAAAUGCAUAGAUAUCACGCAGAACUCCGAUUGCGAAGGCAGCAUACCGGCGCCCGACUGACGCUGAGGCACGAAAGCGUGGGGAUCGAACAGGAUUAGAUACCCGGGUAGUC
rnacentral:rRNA from 1 species